AAUCUGAACGGUCGCGGCAGUACAUUUGUACUGAUGAGGAAAGUCCGAGCUUCGCAGGACAGGAUGCCGGAGAAAUCCCGGUGGAGGCGACUCUAAGGAAAGUGCAACAGAAAUAAACCGCUUGUUAUACAAGUAAGGGUGGAAAGGCGGGGUAAGAGCCCACCGACAUUGCGGUAACGCUUUGUGCCAUGUAAACCCCAUCCGAAGCAACGCCGACAGGAUUGGUUUGUCCGACCUAUAAUCCGACGGGCGGCUGGAGCCGUGUAGAGAUAUACGGCGUAGAUAGAUGACCGUUUUAAACGACAGAACUCGGCUUACAGGAUUACUCA
rnacentral:RNase_P_RNA from 1 species